rnacentral:rRNA from 1 species
GGAUGAACGCUGGCGUCGUGCCUAAUACAUGCAAGUCGAGCGAACAGAUAAGGAGCUUGCUCCUUUGACGUUAGCGGCGGACGGGUGAGUAACACGUGGGUAACCUACCUAUAAGACUGGAAUAACUCCGGGAAACCGGGGCUAAUGCCGGAUAACAUGUUGAACCGCAUGGUUCUACAGUGAAAGGCGGCUUUGCUGUCACUUAUAGAUGGACCCGCGCCGUAUUAGCUAGUUGGUGAGGUAACGGCUCACCAAGGCAACGAUACGUAGCCGACCUGAGAGUGUGAUCGGCCACACUGGAACUGAGACACGGUCCAGACUCCUACGGGAGGCAGCAGUAGGGAAUCUUCCGCAAUGGGCGAAAGCCUGACGGAGCAACGCCGCGUGAGUGAUGAAGGUCUUCGGAUCGUAAAACUCUGUUAUUAGGGAAGAACAAAUGCGUAAGUAACUGUGCGCGUCUUGACGGUACCUAAUCAGAAAGCCACGGCUAACUACGUG